AGAUUAAACCAUCAAAGUGUCUGAUGGUUGAAAUACAACCCCUUCGAUGUUAUAUUCCAACAUCAGGUGGAGUUACAAAAACAGCAAAAUGGAUGUCCUAUGAACAUUGGAAGGAGUUGCAUUUAUUACUUCGUGACGUAAUAACAUCGUAUGAAGAAUCAGAGCGAAUUGGGUCUUCCUUACAAGCUGACUGUCAUGAAACUAAAAUGAAGGAUGGUCAUCUUAUUAAAAUUGGGUAUAUGUUUAUGGUCAGAAAUACUUUCAAGUGUCACCUUAUAAGGCCAAGGGAUGGUGCCACUUGGACUGAUGAUGAUGAAGAUUAUGAUGAAGAGGAGGAAGAGGAAGGUCAAAAACCAAGAGACAGAGG